CUUCGUCGCAUACAAUUAAUUAUAUUGCACAAAUUUUGCAACACUAUGGGUGGUGUAGGUGUGUGUGGAUCACGUGCGAAUGGUGACAUCAUUUGGAACUUCUAUCGCAGAAAAUAGAGUGGAAUAUUCUUAAAAAGGAUACUACAUAAUACAGAGGUGUCGGACAAAAUAGCUUGAUAACCUGCACGAUAGUUUGUUUGGGAGAGUGCUUCCCACAGGCUAAGGAUAAAGAAAGAAACAAUGUGAAUUUCAGGAAAGAUACCGCUUUUCACAAGUGGAGGAAUCAACAAAGAAACAGUGUGAACUUCAGGAAAGAUACGGCUUCUCACAAGUGGAGAAAUCAACAAAGAAACAGUGUGAACUUCAGGAAAGAUACGGCUUCUCACAAGUGGAGAAAUCAACAAAGAAACAGUGUGAACUUCAGGAAAGAUACGGCUUCUCACAAGCGGGGGGAAACAACAAGGAAACAGUGUGAACUUCGGGAAAUAUACGGCUUCUCACAAUAGGAGGAAUCAACAAAGAAACAGUGUGAACUUCAGAAAAUAUACGGCUUCUCACAAGUGGAGGAAUAAACAAAGAAACAGUGUGAACUUCAGGAAAGAUACGGCUUCUCACAAGCGGGGGAAUCAACAAGGAAACAGUGUGAACUUCAGGAAAGGUACCGCUUCUCACAAGCGGAAUAAUCAACAAGGAAACAGUGUGAAUUUCAGGAAAGAAACUGCAUCUCAUAAGCGGAGUAACCAACAAAGAAACAGUGUGAACUUCAGGAAAGGUACCGCUUCUCACAAGCGGAAUAAUCAACAAGGAAACAGUGUGAAUUUCAGGAAAGAAACUGCAUCU